GGAGAGUAUAACGAAAUAACAGAAGAGGUUACAGAGCAGAUGGGUCUAGUAAUGGCAAAGCUUCUUAUUCUGGAUCAAAAGGUAAAGUUUUCCAGACGCCCUAUACUUCAGCUUAAAAAGCGGAGCUUGUAGCUGUAAUUGAG